rnacentral:rRNA from 1 species
GAUGAACGCUGGCGGCGUGCCUAAUACAUGCAAGUCGAGCGAACGGACGAGAAGCCUGCUUUUCUGAUGUUAGCGGCGGACGGGUGAGUAACACGUGGAUAACCUACCUAUAAGACUGGGAUAACUUCGGGAAACCGGAGCUAAUACCGGAUAAUAUUUUGAACCGCAUGGUUCAAAAGUGAAAGACGGUCUUGCUGUCACUUAUAGAUGCAUCCGCGCUGCAUUAGCUAGUUGGUAAGGUAACGGCUUACCAAGGCAACGAUGCAUAGCCGACCUGAGAGGGUGGUCGACCACACUUGAACUGAGACACGGUCCAGACUCCUACGGGAGGCAGCAGUAGGCAAUCUUCCGCAAUGGUGGAAAGCCUGGCGGAGCAGCGCCGCGUGAGUGAUGAAAAUCUUCGUAUCGUGAAACUCUGUUAUUAGGUAAGAACAUAUUUGUAAGUAACUGUGCACAUCUUGACGGUACCUAAUCAGAAAGCCACGGCUAACUACGUG